UACAGAGGGGGCAAGCGUUGUUCGGAAUUACUGGGCGUAAAGCGUGCGCAGGCGGGCUUUUAAGCCAGACGUGAAAUCCCCCGGGCUUAACCUGGGAAUGGCGUUUGGGACUGGGAGUCUGGAGUGCGGCAGAGGAGACUGGAAUUCCUGGUGUAGCAGUGAAAUGCGUAGAUAUCAGGAGGAACACCGAUGGCGAAGGCAGGUCUCUGGGCUGACACUGACGCUCAUGCACGAAAGCGUGGGGAG
rnacentral:rRNA from 1 species